rnacentral:rRNA from 1 species
GGUUGACCUCGGAUCAGGUAGGGAUACCCGCUGAACUUAAGCAUAUCAUAAAAGGC